GAUGUAUUUAUAUUCUAAGAUGUAGACUAAUUUAUUUGCCUUGUGCAAAUGAAGUAUAUAUAACUCAAUUUCUAUGUUCAAGUAAUUCCUGUGUGAAGUUAUUGAUUAUGGUUAUUAAGCCUGAUGGACACCUUUAAGCACAUGUUUCAGUUAAUCAUCGAUUUGUCGACUCGUUGGUUUCAGGCCCCAAGAUUAAACACUCACACACACACACUAAAACUCACCUAUAUAUGUAUGUAUGAAUUUGCAGAAGCUAUAUGAAAGCUUCCUGGAACAGUGGAACUUCACUGUUAAGUAAGGGUGCUAUAUUGAAUACACUAAAUGCCUAUUAAUAGGCUACAGAGUUGAAAAAAAUGAGAAAUAAAACAACUAAAGAUUCUUGAAUUCUCCUAAGAAAUGGUAAACAUGACUUAGUCUUAUGUCUAAGGUGCACUCCAAAAUACUCGAUCAACUUACACCGACUCUUCAACAACUCAUGUACACAACAUAGGCUAAAUGACCCAUUUAGCCCUCAUCCAGAUCUGCAACCAGCUGACCAUUGACAAACUGCUAAGUGCUAACCCAUGACCCGCGUGACCCAUGAAUAUAGCCUAUUAACUCAAGUCAUGUGCAAGCAUAUGCUUAAAAGUUUGGUGCCUAUCAUUGUUGAGGCAUGACUAAGAAAAAAAAAAGGAACAUGGCUGCGACUAGGACAUGCACAUACAUGCCUAAUUGUAUGGUGGACAGCGUCAUUUGCUACAAUGUUCACUCUAUGACCCUCUUAGAGUAGGAGCCGCCAUCUUUGAGAAUUUGUGAUAUAUAAUAUUACUUUAUUGUCUUAACAAAAAAGUGAGUUUUUGUUUUAGUCUAUGUUCAUAAUGGAGCGAGAUCAUCAUGGGCAAUAGGGCAAUUAUAUGCAAUGAGUUAAUUCACCUGUAAUAUAAAAAUGUAACAUUUGAUCACAGGCCACUGCCUUAUUAGUGUGCAUUGUUGUUGUUUCUGUCUUUCUGGUAUUUUUAUGUUUUUUCUUCAUUGAUGAAAUCGAUAUACUAAGUGCAUAAAAGGGUGGUGGACAUUUUAUAUAUGUUUUUCCCACUCUAAUGGUCAGUUCCGUUGCUUUAAUUGUUGUGCUAUGAGCGUCUUGUCUAUAGAUGGUAUAGUGUCUCAGGUGGUUUGAUAUAUGAUACUUCUGAUCUCUUGGGCUAAAGCAUGUGGACAUUCUCCAAGAUGCCAAGGUGUUCCGUUGACAUAUGAUUAAGCUAACCAAAAUUUAGGCGGAGUCUAUACGAGGCACGUCUACAAAGUUUUCAGAGAGGAGCUUCGAUCGUUAUUUACAUUGGAAUGGUCAAGUUUAAUUUAUGGAAGCAUCAAGCAUAUAUAAGCCCGUAUGAGUGGUAACAGGUCUAGCGAUUAUAUGACUCCGUUGGAAUCACACCUUGACAAAGAAUUCAAUUCCAAGGUUCAUGUUUUGAAGAACCAAACAAAAUAAGAAGUGUGGCUAUAGUCGUUCUUUUUCAACCCCCCAUCUUCCAGUUUAAAUACUGAACUUGGAUAUUUAAAAAUAUAAGAAAUAUGAUUAUAAAGGAUAAUAAGGACCAAGAUGACCAACACAGCAAUAUCUACUGACAUACAACAAUAUACUCCUAGACUAAGAAUCGUAAUGCACCAUCGUGAAAUAUGAAGGGUUGCAAUUUGUAGCGUUGCAGGUGAAGAGAAGAUGCCUCCUGGAAAGCCACAAGUAGUUGAAGCCAUGUUUGUUUGUUGAGUUUGUUUCUUAUUUUCAUUUAUUAUCGGGUAUAUCAAUGGAAGUACAUGGUUUUUUCUUUCAAGUCUAAAGAUGGUAUUGUUGCCAUCCAAACAUUGCAGAAGCUCAAUUUCAAUCUUGUUAAUUUCAA